UACGGGGGGGGCAAGCGUCGUUCGGAAUUACUGGGCGUAAAGGGCUCGUAGGUGGCCAACUAAGUCAGACGUGAAAUCCCUCGGCUUAACCGGGGAACUGCGUCUGAUACUGGAUGGCUUGAGUUUGGGAGAGGGACGCGGAAUUCCAGGUGUAGCGGUGAAAUGCGUAGAUAUCUGGAGGAACACCGGUGGCGAAGGCGGCGUCCUGGACCAACACUGACACUGAGGAGCGAAAGCCAGGGGAGCAAACGGG
rnacentral:rRNA from 1 species